AUGCCAAUGCCGAUGCCCACGGCCGACGACCCGGAGUACUUGGCGUUCAUGGAGAACUUCACCUUUGAGGGCUAUGGUGAGGCCUUCCACGUCGACGGCCAGGCCCAAGCUUUUGAUUUCGAAGCCACCCAAAUCAAGGAUGGCUGCGGCCACUAUGAAGACACUCAAUUCGCCAGCCAUAAUAAAGAUGAGGACGACCAUGGAAACUCUUGGCAUGAAGAUGAAGAAGAAGAGCUCGACAUUUCAGCUGAGCCAUCGGUGUUUAUUGAUGAGCUCACCCAAAGGGCCAAGGCACAAAAGAGGAGGCAAAGCAUUCGCACGGGAUGGUACACCCAAGACGAGUACACUUUGAUUUGCGAGAGUUGGAUGGAGAUAGGCCAAGAUCCCAUGAAAGGUGUCGAGCAAAAAGGAUCUGUCUUUUGGACAAGAGUGCACAAGAACUUUCAUGAGCGAAGGAAGUUUCCCCCUACCAAUUUGAGAGCACACGCGGCAUCAACUCAAUCCAAAAAGGGGGUUCAUUCAACAAGAGUGCAACAAAUAUUGUGCCGCGUUUGA
rnacentral:rRNA from 1 species